CCCUUAGAUGUUCUGGGCCGCACGCGCGCUACACUGAUGCAUUCAACGCGUCUAAAACCUGCUCUGAUAGGGGUGGGUAAUCUUUUGAAUGUGCAUCGUGAUUGGGAUAGAUGAUUGCAAUUUUUCAUCUUCAACGAGGAAUGCCUAGUAAACGCAAGUCAUCAGCUUGCAUUGAUUACGUCCCUGCCCUUUGUACACACCGCCCGUCGCUCCUACCGAUUGAAUGAUCCGAUGAAUAUCAUGGAUUGAGGAUGCAAGUAGGUUAGCCUAUCUUCAUCUUCGAGAAGUGAAGUAAAUCUUAUCAUUUAGAGGAAGGAGAAGUCGUAACA
rnacentral:rRNA from 1 species